rnacentral:rRNA from 1 species
CUACGGGAGGCUGCAGUGGGGAAUAUUGCACAAUGGGCGCAAGCCUGAUGCAGCCAUGCCGCGUGUAUGAAGAAGGCCUUCGGGUUGUAAAGUACUUUCAGCGGGGAGGAAGGGAGUAAAGUUAAUACCUUUGCUCAUUGACGUUACCCGCAGAAGAAGCACCGGCUAACUCCGUGCCAGCAGCCGCGGUAAUACGGAGGGGUGCAAGCGGUAAUCGGAAUUACUGGGCGUAAAGCGCACGCAGGCGGUUUGUUAAGUCAGAUGUGAAAUCCCCGGGCUCAACCUGGGAACUGCAUCUGAUACUGGCAAGCUUGAGUCUCGUAGAGGGGGGUAGAAUUCCAGGUGUAGCGGUGAAAUGCGUAGAGAUCUGGAGGAAUACCGGUGGCGAAGGCGGCCCCCUGGACGAAGACUGACGCUCAGGUGCGAAAGCGUGGGGAGCAAACAGGAUUAGAUACCCUCGUAGUC